rnacentral:rRNA from 1 species
AGUGGCGGACGGGUGAGUAACGCGUAGGGCAACCUGCCCUGUACCGGGGGAUAACACUUAGAAAUAGGUGCUAAUACCGCAUAAGCGCACAGCUUCGCAUGAAGCAGUGUGAAAACUCCGGUGGUACAGGAUGGACCCGCGUCUGAUUAGCUAGUUGGUGGGGUACGAGGCCCACCAAGGCGACGAUCAGUAGCCGGCCUGAGAGGGUGACCGGCCACAUUGGGACUGAGACACGGCCCAAACUCCUACGGGAGGCAGCAGUGGGGAAUAUUGCACAAUGGGGGAAACCCUGAUGCAGCGACGCCGCGUGAGUGAAGAAGUAUUUCGGUACGUAAAGCUCUAUCAGCAGGGAAGAAAAUGACGGUACCUGACUAAGAAGCCCCGGCUAACUACGUGCCAGCCGCCGC